rfam:Erythranthe guttata cultivar DTN x IM62 scaffold_264_contig_4, whole genome shotgun sequence.
AGACCGUGAUUCGGGCAUCUCCGAAUUAAUUGUUUGAAUCGCUCCCACGUCUCGAACAACGCUUCACCGGCUUCUUGUAAGAAGUUUUGUAUUUCUUUCCGGAUUCU